ACUCCAUAGAUUACAGAGAGGUUCUUCAAGCUUGUGUCCCCAUCAACAGAGUGCACCAUAGCAACAUACGCUAUAAAGGUCCUUGUCCCAUGUUGGGAGCCUGUACCACGGCGGGGUGUGGCCAGACAACAACCAGGUGCACACAGGAUGUCGACGAUGGCGGUGUUUUCUCUGCUUUUAUGUUCCAUCAUACCAGCUUAUAUCAACGCUGACGCUGCAGUUUGUUCUGCCUGUACAGAUGUAUACGAAGGUGCAUCGUCAGAUACAGACUGCACAUACUUGAAAACGUACCUGAAUUGUCUUGAGGUAGCCGCGGGACUGUCAGCUGGGUGUACACUCACAGCGGCUCAGGCCACGGCAAUCAAAGACGCGUCCUGCU